rfam:Gossypium raimondii chromosome 1, whole genome shotgun sequence.
AUGCCAUGAUGAGGCAACUUUCGUAAUAAGUCCUUGAACCUCUCCCAUGCCCCAUAUAAAGAUUCUUCGUCAAGUUACUGGAAUGAAGUGAUUUCAUUUCAGAUCUU